GGAAUCUGGAGUUGGAUGGUUAUCACUGUCUGCAGAAAGUCUGGGACCUCAUUACCUACUGCUAAUCAGACCUGCUCUGCUGAGGAUCACAACAGCAGCCCUCCUCGCUGGAUUAUGUCUGCUACACCAGUGUUCCAGGACUCUACAGAGCCUGUGAUUGCUGUAGAGUUGGAACCGUCUGUCUUUGAGGCACCCAUUCUGUUAAGUGAUCUCUCUGAAGACAAAGCAAAGGUCAUAACUGUAUCACCACCAAAGCCUGCUGCCCCCAAGUCCUUUCCUGCAGGCAGGUUUCAGACCCCAUCCUUAUGCUCCUCUGGAGACAGGACUCUGAUAUUUUUGAGGUCAGAGCUGUCUGAAGAUGGGGAAAGUGGAGAUAAAGUGGGUUUCCCACUGGUGGAAGAGAGUUGGUUCCCUGAACGAGGUAUGUGGCCCUGUGGUAUGAAGCGGUUUGCUUCUCCCUACCCUGGCAGCACUCUGAAUGUUGGAGGACCUCCAAGUGAGCAGCCUAAGGGGCCUGUGCUGCCAGCCUUGCAGAAUUUCCCCAGCAAAACAUUGGUAAGGAAGGAGAAGGGCCAUGGAAGUCUCCAAGGUGAGUCCGUGAGAUUCUCAGUGGUAAUCCAGGCUACACCAACGUCCUGUUCACAAAAUGCCUUUCCCUGUGUCCAAGCCCUGUGUCCUACUUUGGACCUGUGCAUAGGCUCUCAGAGCGAAGAAGGGUACAGAAUCCAUGGGAAUGAAUGAGGCUGAAUAUCUCAGCAAUACAGCAGAAUGAGACCUCAGAAUUAAGAUCAAGUUGAUUAAUAGAAAAUUAAGAAAUAAAAUAAUCCUUGAAUACUUGAAUCUAAGGAUAGAAAUUCAGAUCCAGUUUAGGUGUAUGUAAUGAGAGGAAAUCAUGAUGAAGGCUGAAUUGAAGGAACUGAAUAUAAAUAACAAGAAUCAGAAACUUCUAGGAAGAGACAGCUGAAAUGGAGGGAGUAGUCCGCUGUGCUCUCUGUGGCGUAAAGAUUACAAUUAAGGAAGGCAAUGGGCCCUAUAGGGAUGGGAAAUCUUUGAGAUGACAGGGAGUGUAUGGUAAGGGACUGAGAUAAGAAUGAGAAGUGAAACUGGAGUAGAUGCCACUCUAGAAGCUUAUUAGUGAAGAGGAAGGAAUAGGAUUUUUUUGAAGAUAUUUUAUUUAGGGCUAGAAGACAUGUGAGGAUAUGUCCUGAAAUAAAGAGAGAAAAAUGGAGAGUGUGAAUAAGAAAGAGGAAGUAACUGACAUAAGGGUAUGCCUGCGCUAUGGUCACCAGGAUUCACUAAAGAGUGACUAGCCCUGUGGGGAGACAGGCAGCUCCUCUGAUCCCACAGGAGGGAUUAUUGCAUAGAUGCUGAAAGAAGGAGUCUAGAAGUAUAGAGGAGGACACUAGGGAAGUACACAGUGGAUGGCCUUGAUCUCAGCAAGGCACAUAGUGAGACCUGUGUCUUCCCUUAAAGAACUUGGGAAUAAGAACAAUGUUUUAGAAUCAGGAAAGAGAAGAAGGCAAUAAGGAAUCUUCAAGGUUGAAUAAUAGUACAAUAAUAAUGAAGUCUGCAGCCCAUAGGACUGCAUCCCAUAUGACAGGUGCUGUUCUCAGCCUACCAUUUAAUAAUGUGUAUAAUUCAUAUAAUUCUCAGACAUUGUCAUCACAUAUUGAUGUGGGACUCAAGACUCUGCAAAGUUAAAUAACAUAGCCUCACUAAAAAAUACAACCUUUUAUGGUCAUGUACCAUGGACAUAAGAGUCAAGCUGUUAACCAGAGACUAUGGGAAAAUCAGUCCAUUCCUACCACCUGUCACGAUGCAGGAUCUGAGGCUGAGGUGAAGGGGCCAUAUUAUAUGAAUUGGGGAUGAAAAGGCUUUGGAAUUUCCAGAUAUUGUGAUCUCAAGACAUCUGGAUGAAGGCUUGAGUGUGAUGGAUGCGGAGUCUCUGACCAGGUAUUCAUAGGAGUCCUGAUAGUAUGUCUCAAUAGAGAAUAUAAAGACGUGAAAGAACUGGAGACCCAGGAAAAGAGGGCUUUCAGAGUUCAUCUGUGUAGAGGUGGAACCUUAAGCCCUGAGGGUGAUGACUCGCUGAGGAAGAAGAGAGUUAAAAGCAUGGAAAAGAAAAAAAAUAUGAGAAAAUGAAAAAAUGGAAACGAAGUAUUUGUAAGGGAAGGGAGGAGAGGGGAAGGGAGAGUGCGGGUAAGGGGAGAAAAUGAGAACCAAGGCCUGUCAUGUAAAGGUACAAGAUCCCAAUGAUGUAUGCAAUUGUACUGCAUACCUAAAAAGUACUGAUAAACUCAAUGAGAAAAAAAAAAGAAGUGUGGGGUCCGAGUGAGACCAACUUUGGAAAAAAUCUAUUACUGAGUAGUCAGUAAAAGAAGGAGAAACUUGCCAAGGAUACAUUGAAGAAGGUGCUGAGAAACCUAGGAAUAGAGCAGUGGUGUCUCACUAACACAAAGGGUGGAGGCCAAUGGGGUCAGUAUAGAUGACCUAUGCAGGGAGUAGGGCUGAAACAUGCCCACUGGACUUGGGAUUUUGGUGACAUAAGGAAGAACUGUUUAAGGCAAGUGCUAGGGUCUAAAGCCAGCCUGUUGUGAGAAGACUGAGGAACUGCAAACAGGAGUAGGAAGAAUCUUUUUCAGAGAAUUUGGCUUAAAGGAAAAUAGCUGGAGGGGUCUUUAAAUUUUAAUAAGGAACAUUUUUAGGUGGAAAGGACAUAUAUUUAAAUUUCAUUGGGAGAAAUUCAUUUAAGAGGAAACUAGAUCAUGGAUAACAUUCAUUUCUGAGAAAAGAUGGAGAAGAUGGCUCGUAAGCCAUGAGGACAAGACAGUCUUGGUUGGUGGGAGGGAGAAAAGGCCAGGGAACAGGAGGAAGGUGGGUGUGCUGGUGUACUUGGUGGUAGGAGGGCAAGAGAGUUCUGUGUAAUGGACUCAGUGUUCCCUGUGGAGUAGGAGGCAGGGUUGCAAGCCAAGAGUGAGGAAAGAGGUGGGAGAGUCAGAGGUUUAAGGAAAGCAGAUUAAGACUGAAAUGCGUUGCAGAGUUGAUGAGGGUAAGUGGCAUAUUUGCUGAGCAAUGUUGAGAGUCCAUUUGAGAAUUAUUAUGAACACAUAGUGAAAUUGAUGUGCCCUAGGGUUGCACAUUCUUGAUAAAACUCUAUAGUUUUGCCCUGCCUCAGAACAAGAGGAAGGUUGAGUCCAUUCAGAAUUCUUUUCCAGAUGGAUGUGAUACAAAGACAGAAUGACAAGAGUUUAGGGUUUGGAAAAGUAUGUUAUGGAAUAAUGAACAUGAGGUCUUAGUUUGACAGGGAGGGAAAGAAGGGACCUAUCUGAUGGAUAAAUAGAGAAUAAAUGGAUUUAAUUCACUGGAGAUAAUAGUGACAUUUGAAAUCCAUUCCUGGAGAAAAUUGGAGGUGUGAGACCUGUGCAUAAAAUGAAUCAUGAUAACUCACAAAGAUAAUAUUCAAGGAAGGACCAUGGUCUCCUUAGAGCAAGGAGAAAUCUUGCGUUAUCUGUUCAUACAGUGUCACGUACAACAGAUAAAUAUAUGAGGCUGAACACACAGGUUUGAAACUAGUUAUGCUUCUCAAAUAUGCCUUUUGGGAGAUCUUACAGAUUCUUUUUCACCUUCUAAACACUCUUCAGGUUUUUGGAAAAACUGAAGUGUAAACAGGAUAGGAGAAAGAUUAACCUGGAUGACUAGAUGUGAACUGCUUGAGAAAAGAAUUAAACCUCACUUAACUUGGUAACCCAGUAGGAUGUCUGGAAUGAUAAUGAAUUCAGGGGCUC
rnacentral:lncRNA from 1 species